UAUCAAUAAGCGGAGGAAAAGAAACUAACAAGGAUUCCCCUAGUAACGGCGAGUGAAGAGGGAUCAGCCCAAAUUUGUAAUCUGGCUCUUUCAGGGUCUGAGUUGUAAUUUUGAGAACUGUUUUCUGCUCUGGACCAUGUACAAGUCUGUUGAAAUGCAGCAUCAUUGAGGGUGAGAAUCCUGUUUAUGAUAUGGACUACCAGGGCUUUAUGAUACAGUCUCUAAGAGUCGAGUUGUUUGGGAAUGCAGCUCAAAGUGGGUGGUAAAUUCCAUCUAAGGCUAAAUAUUGGUGAGAGACCGAUAGCAAACAAGUACCGUGAGGGAAAGAUGAAAAGAACUUUGGAAAGAGAGUUAACAGUACGUGAAAUUGUUAAAAGGGAAACAGUUGAAGUUAGACUUGUUGUUGUUGGUUCAGCUCUUUAAGGGUGUUUUCUGAUAAUUAACAAACCAACAUCAAUCUUUGGGUGUUGGAUAAGGGUCAUUGAAAUGUAGCAGUUUUGGCUGUGUUAUAGUCUUUGACUUGGAUACAAUGCUUGGGAUUGAGGAUUGCAGUAAGCCAUUUAUUUGGUGGGACAAUUUAUUGUUCUUCUUACUGAGGAUGUUGGUGCAAUAGCUUCAAUUGACCCGUCUUGAAACACGGACC
rnacentral:rRNA from 1 species